rnacentral:rRNA from 1 species
UUAAGGGCGUACGGUGGAUGCCUUGACUUUAAGAGGCGAUGAAGGACGUGGCGUUGCUGCGAUAAGCUUCGGGGAGACGCAAAGCAGUCUUUGAUCCGGAGAUUUCCGAAUGGGGAAACCCUGUAGAGUAAACCUCUACAACCUUGAGCUUUAUGUUCAAGGAGCAUACCCUGGGAAGUGAAACAUCUCAGUACCAGGAGGAGUAGAGAACAAUAGUUAUUUCCCAAGUAGCGGCGAGCGAAAAGGAAGAAGCCCAAACUCGAGUAGCAAUACUCGGGGGUUGUAAGGUAACAAUUUUUAUUUAUUUAAAGAAGAGUCAAAAAAUAAAUUAUUAGCUUAAGUUCUUGGAAAAGGGCACCAUAGAGGGUGGACAUGAAUGGCCGGGGGGAAUCCAGCGGAACUAACCGCUAAGGCUAAAUACUCUUAAAGAUCGAUAGUGAACUAGUACCGUGAGGGAAAGGUGAAAAGCAGCCCGAUUAGGGCGGUGAAAUAGACCUGAAACCGUAUGUCUACAAGGAGUCGAACUCCGUCUUCGGAUGGAGAACGGCGUGCCUAUUGAAGAAUGAGCCAACGAGUUUAUGCAUACUGCUAGGUUAAGUUGACUAAAACAACAAAGCCGAAGGGAAACCGAGUGUUAAUAGCGCGACUGUAUAUUUAUUUAUACGGGUAGAAUGCAUAAGACCCGAAGCCAGGUGAGCUUGCCAUGAGCAGGAUGAAGUAGGUCGAAAGACUUAUGGAGGUCCGAACGGGUAGAUCGUACAACGUCUUCCGAUGACUUGUGGUAAGGAGUGAAAAGCUAAUCGAACCUGGUAAUAGCUGGUUCUCUCCGAAAUAGCUUUAGGGCUAGCGUCGUGUGUUUCUUUUGGGGG